CAAAGACGGGCAAGCCGGUUUUUCGGCCAUACGGGGUAAGAGGGUUAACACAACAUUGUUCAUCUGGAGCUUCCAGAAUCUGGUGGAUUGAAUACAUGCAGGAGACAUUCUUAAUGUUUUUUAUUUGCUUUGAAAUACUUGCUGAGCAAUAAUUCCUUUUGAGUUCGAAAUUUCAGCAGUGUGUGUAUGUUUUCCACAGAGAAGCCGAGUGUCAUGAUUGAAUGAGGAACGGUUCUUUAACCUGUUUGGCCUCAGGUUAUCCAGCACUGACUAUUUACUGGCAGCAGUGUGAGAAAAUGAACAACACCUGUGAUAGAAACAGAUCGUCUGUGGAGUUACAGUAUGAACAAUACACACUACAGCAACACGAUGAGUUCCAGUCCCACACAGUGCGGAGUGUGUUACUGACUCCCCUCAGCAACACCACGGUCAGGUGUGAAGCUGAGAACACUGCUGGAGUCGGGCGGAGCACAAUCAGCUUACCUCCUCUACUCUAUGUUUAUCAACCUCCACCUGAUGUCUGGACAUCUCAGAUGUUCCUCACCAUCAUCACAGCAACCUCAGUUAUAGCGACACUGCUCUUCAUUUUGCUGGGGGUUUGUGCGUACAGGUGUAAGCAGGUAAUUAUCAUUAUUAUUAUUAUUAUUAUUAUUAUUAUUUAAAUGAACCCUAUUCUACAGCUCUGUGGUCUGAUUGGUCAGUUGAGACA
ensembl:lncRNA